GCAGACAUAGUUUAACUAAAACCUUAAG
rnacentral:tRNA from 1 species